GAAGGAGGCUCUCACUGGGAAGUGAUCUUGCCAGAUGGAGGAACAUGAAGAGUCAUCGUUCCGCAAACUCCAUCCUAGAGCACAAGUGAGGGUUUAUAAGUGAAGAAACGGAGGCUCUGAGCAAUGAAAAGGUUUGCCCACUCAGCAAAUGUCAGAACCAGAAGUCCAGUCUGCGAUUCCCCAAAGCAAAGUGCCUUUGCCACCCAAAGCUACAUCUGGGGGCACCUGGCCCUGCAGGUCUCUCUGGAUCUUUCUUCGCUCACCAGGGGUCAGGACCCGUCACUCUGAAAGGACUGAAAUGGGACUGGUCGGGAUUUAGGGUUCUGCCAAAG